UACGUAGGGGGCAAGCGUUGUCCGGAAUCAUUGGGCGUAAAGCGCGUGUAGGCGGCUCGAUAAGUCCGCUCUGAAAGCCUGGGGCUCAACCCCAGGAGGCGGGUGGAUACUGUCGAGCUUGAGUCCGGAAGAGGCGAGUGGAAUUCCCGGUGUAGCGGUGAAAUGCGCAGAUAUCGGGAGGAACACCAAUGGCGAAGGCAGCUCGCUGGGACGUGACUGACGCUGAGACGCGAAAGCGUGGGGAGCAAAC
rnacentral:rRNA from 1 species